GAUGAACGCUGGCGGCGUGCCUAAUACAUGCAAGUCGAGCGAACAGACGAGGAGUUUGCUCCUCUGACGUUAGCGGCGGACGGGUGAGUAACACGUGGAUAACCUACCUAUAAGACUGGGAUAACUUCGGGAAACCGGAGCUAAUACCGGAUAAUAUAUUGAACUGCAUGGUUCAAUAGUGAAAGACGGUUUUGCUGUCAGUUAUAGACGGAUCCGCCGCGCAUUAGCUAGUUGGUAAGGUAACGGCUUACCAAGGCAACGAUGCGUAGCCGACCUGAGAGGGUGAUCGGCCACACUGGAACUGAGACACGGCCCAGACUCCUACGGGAGGCAGCAGUCGGGAAUCUUCCGCAAAGGGCGAAAGCCUGACGGAGCACCGCCGCGUGAGUGAUGAAGGUCUUCGGAUCGUAAAGCUCUGUUAUUAGGGAAGAACAAAUGUGUAAGUAACUAUGCACGUCUUGACGGUACCUAAUCAGAAAGCCACGGCUAACUACGUG
rnacentral:rRNA from 1 species